GUGUUCCUUUGGCAGCAUAUAUGCUAAAAUUGGAAUGAUACAGAGAAGAUUAGCAUGGCCCCUGCACAAGGAUGACAUGCAGAUUCAUGAAGUGUUCCAUAUUUUU
rnacentral:snRNA from 1 species